rnacentral:rRNA from 1 species
AUGGAGGGUGGAGACGCAAGAAAUGGUUUGACUGGGACAUCACAGACAACGGGAAGUGGGGUUGAGACCCCAGCAAAGCCACUGCCUCCUUGCUGUGUCAAGGCGAGGGCUGCAGCACCUGAAUCUGAGGCCAAGUGCCAUGCCACUGUGGUAUCGGGAUGGUUCACGGAGACCCGCUCACGAUGUGGUAAAGCGAACAAACUGCAGUAUUACAAUAAUCCAAUGUGGCCAGGAGAGACCCAUUCCUUGAAAGUGGAAAAGAUCCUGUACCAGGGGAAGUCACCAUACCAAGAAGUCUUGAUUUUUGAGUCGUUAACCUAUGGAAAAGUCCUUGCGCUUGAUGGUAUUGUACAAUUGACUGAUAAGGAUGAAUGUGCCUACCAGGAAAUGAUUACUCAUCUCCCACUCUGUUCAAUUCCUUCUCCUAAGAAGGUUUUGGUUAUUGGAGGUGGAGAUGGUGGUGUACUUCGAGAGAUAGCCAGACAUGGUUCAGUGGAGUCUAUUGAUAUAUGUGAAAUUGAUCAGCUAGUUAUUGAUGUUUGUAAAGAUUUCUUCCCAGACUUAUCUGUUGGAUUUAAGGAUCCUCGUGUUCGACUUCAUGUUGGUGAUGCUGUGGAGUUCCUAAGAAAUUCUCCUGAAGGGACAUAUGAUGCUAUUAUUGUUGAUUCAUCAGAUCCUAUAGGGCCUGCUCAGGAACUUGUAGAGAAGCCAUUUUUUGAGACAAUUGCUAGAGCUUUGAGACCUGGCGGUGUUCUUUGUAAUCAAGCUGAGAGUAUGUGGUUGCAUACACAUCUGAUUCAGGACAUGCUUUCGAUCUGCUGUGAGACUUUCAAGGGUUCUGUCCACUAUGCCUGGGCAAGUGUCCCAACAUAUCCUAGUGGUGCAAUUGGGUUUUUGCUAUGUGCUAAAGAGGGUCCACCAGUCAACUUCCUGGCACCCAUAAAUCCAAUCGAAAAACUAGAAGGCGCUAUGACAGCAGGGAGGGACAUCAGAUUUUAUAAUACAGAGAUGCAUAGGGCAGCGUUUGUUCUUCCAACCUUUGCAAAGAGAGAGCUAGAAGCAUACGGUGGCUCCACUAGAAGGGCACAAGAGGAAAAAUCAGCAGAACCAGCGAAGGUUGCCGUCGCGCCACACAGUGAAAUUCUUACCGCUUAG